AAUCUAAUCUAACUCUAUAAUAAAGCAAGAAGUUUUGCCAAUCAUUGUUUCCCGCCCAAUGAAAACGACGCAGUUUUGUAUAUAUAUAAUCU